GCGUAUGGUGGAUGCCUUGACACAAAAUGGCGAUGAAGGACGUAGCGUAGCUGCGAAAAGCCCCGGGGAGGUGUGUAGCAACCUUUGAUCCGAGGAUAUCCGAAUGGGGAAACCCUUUGGCGUAAACCGCCAAAAGUCCCGAACUUGUUUCGGGACAGCAUACCCGCUGAAGUGAAACUUCUCAGUAAGCGGAGGAAAAGAGAAAAAUUUUAUUCCGUUAGUAGCGGCGAGCGAAACCGGAACAGCCCAAACUUGUAUAUGUUUCGCAAGAAAUGUACACAAGGGUUGUAAGGUAAGAACAUUUUAGAGAUAUGAAAUAGGAUCAAUAUAGUAUCCUAUUUCGUGUUUCUAAAAAGAGGUUAUAAAUUGAUUUGCUAGUUGAAUGGGAUGGAAAGCCCAACCAGAGCAGGUGAUAGUCCUAUAGACGAAAGCAAAUCAACCUCUGUUUUUAUUCUUAAGUACCCCGAGGCCAAUAAACCUUGAGGGAAUCCGCCAGUACUAUCUGGCAAGGCUAAAUACAUUUUGUGAUCGAUAGUGAACUAGUACCGUGAGGGAAAGGUGAAAAGCAGGCCGGGAGGCCGGUGAAAUAGUACCUGAAACCAUAUGCUUACAAGGACCUGAAGGCUGAUGUUCGCCGCAAGGCGGAAUGGCUAACAGGGUGCCUAUUGAAGAAUGAGCCAACGAGUUUACGUCUGUUGCAAGUCUAAGCCGCUUCGGCGGUGAAGGCAUAGGGAAACCGAGUGUUAAUAGCGCGUUAGCAGCGAGCGUAAGACCCGAAGCCAAGGCGAGCUUACCCUGUCCAGGAUGAACCCCGAGUAAAAUCGGGGGGAGGUCCGAACUGGUGGGUUGUGCAAAACCCUCGGAUGAGGUGGGGUAAGAAGUGAAAAGCUAAUCGAGCUUGGUAAUUGCUGGUUCUCUCCGAAAUAGUUUUAGGACUAGCGGUUGGAGAUCUGUAUACGGGGGUAGAGCUACUGGUUCGAGAUUAUAGGGCGAAAGCUCGAAUCUCGAGUCAAACUCCGAAUACCGUAUAUAUUGUCCAACUAGUCAGACUACGGGGGCAAAGCUCCGUGGUCGCGAGGGAAAAAGCCCAGAUCGUCGUCUAAGGCCCCCAAAUUUUUGUUAAGUGUUAAAGGUAGUUUUCAACCAUAGACAGAUAGGAGGUUGGCUUAGAGGUAGCCAUCCUUUAAAGAGUGUGUAACAACUCACUAUUCGACGGUCGGAAGCGCCGAAAAUGUAUCAGGGCUAAACAAAAUGCCGAAGACACGGACGUUGGAGUGGUAGGAGAGCAUUCUUAAUGCUGCGAAGGAGGAUCCGCGAGGACCUCUGGAGCGUUAAGAAGAGAGAAUGUUGGUAUGAGUAAUCACAAACCCAAUGAGAAAUUGGGUCCCCGAAAAUCCAAGGUUUCCGUGGCAAUGGCAAUCAUCCACGGGUUAGGCGAUCCUAAGGCAAUGGCGAGAGCCGCAGCUGAUGGGAAGCCGGUUAAUAUUCCGGCCCGUCUAUAAACGCGCGAUGGAGAGACGGAGAAAAUAAGCUUGAGCGCCUUAAUGGUUUGGCGUCGCUGAGUUUAAGAAUUGGCAUCCAGGAAAAUCCGGGUGCUUGCCUUCAAUGGCGAAAUUCGCGGCUUGGCGUAAGGUCGGGUUUUACCCGGCUAAUUCAAGUGAAGAGACUUCCGAGAAAAACUUCUAAGUUUAGUUUGUAGACACCGUACCGUAAACCGACACAGGUGGGUGAGGCGAGAAGCCUCAGGGGAACGAGUGACUCUUCGUUAAGGAACUCGGCAAAAAAGCGGCCGUAAGUUCGCAAUAAGGCCUGCCCUUCGCAAGAAGGGCCGCAGCUAAAGUAUCUCUGGCGACUGUUUACCAAAAACACAGCUCCCUGCUAACUCGCAAGAGGAUGUAUAGGGGGUGACGCCUGACCGAUGCGAGAAGGUUAACGAUGCCGGUACUUCUAAAAGCAAUUUUGGGAGCGCUGAGUGUCCGAAGCCCUCGUCAAUGUCAGCGGUAACUAUAACCGUUCUAAGGUAGCGCAAUUCCUUUUCGGGUAAGUUCCGAAGCGCACGAAUGGCGUAACGACUGGAGAACUGUCUCAACGAAGAGCUCGAUGAAAAUGCGAUUCCCGUGAAGACGCGGGAUACCCGUAGCAAGACGAAAAGACCCCGGGAGCUUUACUGUAGUUUGGUAUUGGCUUCAAAACUUAAAUGCGUAGCGUAGUGGUGAGGGGAUGAAAUCCGCCUUUUGGGGCGGAUGGACCCGACAAUGAAACAGCCAUCUUUUGAGUUUUGAAUUCUAACCUCGACGGCAAAAACGUCGCGGGACAGUGCCUGAUGGGCAGUUUUAAUGGGGCGUUAUCAAAAGUAACGGAGGAGUUUAUUAAGGUUGGCUUAGCCCGGAUGGAAAUCGGGCCGGACGUGUAAAGGCACAUGCCAGCUUAACUGCAAGACCGACAAGUCGCGCAGAUGCGAAAGCAGAACUUAGUGACCCGACGACACUUUAUAGAAAGGUCGGAGACAACGGAUAAAAGUUACCCCGGGGAUAACAGGCUAGUGAGAUCCGAGAGUUCCUAUCGACGAUCUCGCUCGGCACCUCGAUGUCGGCUCGCCCUAGCGCGGGGCUGGAGAAGGUCCCAAGCGUAUGGCUGUUCGCCAUUUAAAAGGGCACGUGAGCUGGGUUCAGUGAGACAGGUUGGUCUCUAUCUGUUACGGGCGUUGACACUUGAGGGGAGUCGUCCCUAGUUGACGAGAGGACCGGGAUGAACAUACCUCUGGUCUACCAGCUUUGGUACCAACUGAAGCGCUGGGUAGCUAUGUAUGGAAGGGAUAAGCGCUGAAAGCAUCUAAGCACGAAGCCUACCCCAAGAUUAGGUGUCUGUCCGGUGCAAAUCGGACAGCGGUUCGUAGAAGACUACUACGUUGAUAGGCUCUAGGUGUAAGCAUCGUAAGGUGUUUAGCCGAGGAGUACUAAUAAACCG
rnacentral:rRNA from 1 species